rfam:Felis catus isolate Cinnamon breed Abyssinian chromosome B4, whole genome shotgun sequence.
GCCUGGGUGGCUCAGUCGGUUAAGCGUCCGACUUCAGCUCGGGUCACCAUCUCGCGGUCCGUGAGUUCGAGCCCCGCGUCGGGCU